AUGGCGGAUGCACCUCUGCACAAGCUGCACCGCAAGUACACAAGGGAGCUCCACGACGUCCACCUCCACGGCAAUCACAAGCUCCACGUCCUUUGCACAAGCAAGGGCAAAGACCUGGAAAAGAUGUUGUCCACGUUCAGGAGGAAGCUCGGCGGAAUGCCCGUAAAACUAGUCGGCGUUGAUGUCGAGUACACGCACUACGUGAAGACACAGCGGGCAGCAGUGCUCCAGCUAUGCGUAGAAAAAGAAUGCCUUGUCUACCACAUCUCUGCAGCUAAAGACAGGCCAAUGGAACUAGACAAAUUCCUCAUGAAUGAUGAGUACACCUUCGUCGGAUUUGCUAUUGAAGGAGACAAAAGCAAGCUGAAGGUAUCUGGUUUGGACAUCAACUCCGACAACUACAUUGAUAUUUGGGUGGAAUGGAGAGACCCAUACAAUAAAAAGAAGUUUGACUCUUUGGCUGAUGUUGCCGGCAGGAUGAUAGACAUUCACUACCAUGACAUGAAGAAAAAAAUUAACCGCAAGGAGGACCAUACUCUGUGGGGAUUUUGCCCGCUGCCAGAAAAGCUUAUCAAGUAUGCAUCAAUAGAUGCAUUCACAACAUAUGAGUCA
rnacentral:rRNA from 1 species